ACUGGAAUAGUUCAGUUGGUUAGAGCGUGCGGCUGUUAACCACAAGGUCUUGAGGUUCAAGCCCUCCUUGAAGAG
rnacentral:tRNA from 1 species